CUCCUCUCUGUAAUCUUCCUUCAUUUUUCCAGUUGUGAAUGUGUUAAUGUGCCAGAAAAAAAUGUGCUACUCCAAACAGCCUGAGAAGUCAAUUAUGUUGGAUUACACAUCAGAAGAAAUCCCACAAGGUCUCGUUAUCCAUGAAAUUAAAACAAAAACUUGAACUUGAUGUAAGUACGUCAUUUUGCUAUUCUACGGUGGCAACUUACCGAGCACAAUGCUUAUCAGAAAUGGUGUCCCAUCUAGAGAUACUCCCUGUGUUCCAAAAUGUAAUCGUUACUAUGAUUUGAUUUUCACUAAAAUAUAAGUAUUUUUUGGUACUGUCCACAGUAGUACUUGUCCCAUCCAUUAGUUAGUACUUCUCAUCCAAAAUUCUUCCCAUUUUAUCCCCAUCUACCCACCAACCCCCCAUCCAUUACUCAUUAAGGGGCGACGUAUUCUUUUCUCUCAACCUUAGUCUCUGCUAAAUAAUUUAUAAAUGUUUAUAUUUUCGGGUGGAGGUGUAGAAGGCAGCGCCUUGGAGAUGCUGCAAGAUUUUAUUGCUGCUCAAAUCUUCACUUGAAUUAGUGCUUCAGAAGAAAAACUUACCAUACUACAAUGAGUGUUGCAAGUUGCAACACAUGUUUUUGAUGGAUAAUUUGUUUUAUAUCAAGUGCAGUCCUCAUAGAUAAGGUAUCUGCAGAGCAUAUAUUUGUGUUUUAAAGUAUAGAUACCAACUAAAGUAACGUCUGAUGGUCCACCAAAAUUUCAUGGGAAUCUUUCAUGCAUUUCACACUGCAAAUUCUGAGACUGGAUCUGAGCGAACUUACCACACACAGAAGGCAUGGAAAGUUCAAAACCAUCUAUGUCAGCUCAAUACGCACAAAGAAAUAGCAAAGCUCAUGCAGGCUUAGUGGCUUAGAGUUUAUGCAUGGAGAUCACCAAAAUAAAC
rnacentral:lncRNA from 1 species